rnacentral:rRNA from 1 species
GACGAACGCUGGCGGCGUGCUUAACACAUGCAAGUCGAGCGGUAAGGCCCCUUCGGGGGUACACGAGCGGCGAACGGGUGAGUAACACGUGAGCAAUCUGCCCUUCACUCUGGGAUAACCCCCGGAAACGGGAGCUAAUACCGGAUACGACCACUUCAGGCAUCUGAUGGUGGUGGAAAGCUCCGGCGGUGGAGGAUGAGCUCGCGGCCUAUCAGCUUGUUGGUGAGGUAAUGGCUCACCAAGGCUUCGACGGGUAGCCGGCCUGAGAGGGUGACCGGCCACACUGGGACUGAGACACGGCCCAGACUCCUACGGGAGGCAGCAGUGGGGAAUAUUGGACAAUGGGCGAAAGCCUGAUCCAGCAACGCCGCGUGAGGGAUGACGGCCUUCGGGUUGUAAACCUCUUUCAGCACCGACGAAGCGAAAGUGACGGUAGGUGCAGAAGAAGGACCGGCCAACUACGUGCCAGCCGCCGCCGUAACAC